UGCGUAGGCGGAAUUUUAAGUCAGUGGUGAAAUCCUGCAGCUCAACUGUAGAACUGCCAUUGAUACUGAUAUUCUUGAAUUUAGUUGAGGUGGGCGGAACGUGUAAUGUAGCGGUGAAAUGCUUAGAUAUUACACAGAACACCGAUUGCGAAGGCAGCUCACUAAACUAAUAUUGACGCUGAGGCACGAAAGCGUAGGUAGCGAACAGGAUUAGAUACCCUGGUAGUCC
rnacentral:rRNA from 1 species